GAUGAAGAACGUAGCGAAAUGCGAUAAGUAAUGUGAAUUGCAGAAUUCAGUGAAUCAUCGAAUCUUUGAACGCACAUUGCGCCCGCCAGUAUUCUGGCGAGCAUGCCUGUUCGAGCGUCAUUUCAACCAUCAAGCCCCAGGCUUGUGUUGGUGCCCUGCGGCUGCCGCAGCCUCCCAAAACCAGUGGCGGGCUCGCUAUCACACCGAGUGCAGUAGUUUACUCUUCGCUCAGGGCGUGUGGCGGGUGCUAGCCGUGAAACCCCCAACUUCUCAAGGUUGACCUCGGAUCAGGUAGGAAUACCCGCUGAACUUAAGCAUAUCAAUAAGCGGAGGA
rnacentral:misc_RNA from 1 species